AUUUGGUAUUUUUCUUGUAGUUUCAUAUUUAAUUAUGUAUUCCUAUUUAUAAUUUUAUAUUUUAGUGUAAGAUUUUAUUAAUUAAUAUUACUAUAAUAUUUUUAUGUAUGUGCUAGUUAUCUACAAAAGUUUUAUGGAUUUAUAUUAAUUAUGACAAAUAUAAUGAGCAUAGUGUAAAUUAUAAAUAAUUUUGAAGUUAAAUUUGAAGUUUUGCUUUUAGAAAAGAACACUUUGAAAUUUCAAAUACAGAGUUUGCAAAACUCUAUAAUAGAGAAUCUUUUUGGAGAUGUUCUAAAAUAGAAACUAGACUUUCAUGUGAGAUAACUUGAUAUAGUUGCUAAGUGCAUGUGAUAAUCAAUCCUAGAAUUCGAAUACUAAUAUAAGAUAUCUAGCUCUCGCUGCGAGUCUACGUGUUUGAGUCUAUAUCCACACUCUUGUAUGUGACACAAAACCAGUGUCGAUCAUACACCUAUAGGGUGUCGAACGAUACUUCUUCCAAACAAGCUUUAAGCUUAGAUCGAUAAGUUAACUAAAUCAGUGAAACCAGUUAGCUAUAGCUCGUGUCUAACAACCUAGUUUGGCAUAAUUAUUAUCAGGUAUGAGUCUACUCUCGUAGUUGUCAACUCCUAGAUCAUGAUCCUAGUUAGCUACUCUAGAAUGUAAGCAAUAAGUAGUAACUCUAUGAAGGAUGUUAAUUAAUCACCUUAGCAGUUCUAGUAUCAAUAAUUCAUCGUAACCAUAUAAAUAUUAAGUCUAAGAAAGUAACUACUCAGACAUAAUCAAACAAGACAUAAAGAUAAACUGAAUGAAUUGCAUAAUUAGAUUAGAGAUAGAAAAACCAGAGUUCAAAUACAAUACUCUAAAUGAGUUCUGGGAUCUUCUCUCCAAUACCUUAAGCUUCCAAGAAAACUACAAAUAUUUGUAUGUGUUGUUUCUUGCCCAAACAAUAGCACAACUUAUAUAAUCUUGUAAAUUGUGUAGACUUAUAGGCCCAAAUCUUGAUCAUGGCCCGUAAGGCUUCUCGGAUCGGAUGUCGAUCGACACCAAGGAUGUGUGUCGACCGACACUUCCUCUAGAUAUUGACUCUGUCUUUUCUUUAUUUGCUCAACUACAGGUUUUGCUCCAGUUAAACUUCAUUUAUCUUCAUAAACUGCACAAUGUUCCAGAACGUAUCUAUACAUGUAAAGACACUAGAAGACACUUCAAACAUAACAAGUGGUCAAGUCCAUAGUAUAUCAUUUUUUCAUAAACUUAAAGAGACUCAAAAACAUGAGGCUUCAUUAAAAAAGCAAAAGCAAAAGCAAAAGGAUGACAAAAAAAACAUUAACAAAACAAAAGACUCUUCUACUAUUACUUAGAUAUAUAAAUAUAAAUAAAUAUUUAAUAAAUAAUAAAAAUAAAGAAAUAUUUUUAUAUAGUGUUCGUAUUCAACGUUUUGAAUUUGAACUUUUUAUAUUUUUUUUACUUUUCAUAUUUUUAAAAACAUUUAUUGAAAUUCGAAAAAAAUUUGAAACUAAUCCCCAACCUCCAAAACUUGACCCUCAAAUAACCCUAAUCUAGAUUAGUUAGCCAUAAUAUAAGUGUUUAUUUAAUUCCUUAAAACUAAAGGUAAAUGUGGUAAUGUAAAAAUGAAAAAUGGUGUUAAUAAUGUGUUCAUUUUUUUUAACAAUCAAGUAUUUAUAAACUAUAUACAUAUUUCAAAAAUGAUUAAUAGAAUUGAUAUAGUAGUUUUAUUUUCAUAUAUAAUUGGUAUGUUAUUCAUGUUUUGUACUUUUUGGUAUAUGAAUAUGUAGAGAAUCAAGAUGAUGUAAACUAAAAAUAUUUAUGUAACAAAUAUAUUGUUGUAACUUUUAAACGUAUUAAAAAACACUGUAACUACAAAUUAUUUAAAACUCAAAAGUUUCAAUAUUAUAUACCUUUGAAACUUAAGUAAUAUUUUUUUUAAAAAAGUAUUAUGAAUGUUAUAUAUAUAAAUAUUUUUAAUACAAUUAUCAAUACAAAAUAUUUUAUAAGAAAAACUAAAAUAGUCAUAUUUAUCUAUUUCAAAAAAAUAAAAUAAUUAAAUUGAAUAAAUAUAUAAAAUUUAUUCUGAAAAAACUAUUUAAAAAUAUUCAUUUUUUGAUGAUAAAAAUAUUUUAAUUUGAAAAAUUACAAUAAAUAUAUCGCUACAAAAUAUUCAAAUCCGUGAAAUCACGGGUACCCAUCUAGUAUAUAUAAUUUAGGAGAAAACAACUAUUAAAAUCCUCAACUUUAAAAUUAAUGAAAAAAAACUUUAAACUCGUGUUGAGCCAAACAUCCUCAAAUUUUAAAUAUUGGCAGUUUUAACCAUCAUUUUUAUGUUGACCACGCCUUUUAAGAAACUUGAAUAUUCAACUAUUAAGCUCGAUUAAUGGCCAUUAAACCUAAAACAAUGACGUUUAAAAAAUCAUUUAGUUUUAGAGAAAUUUCAAAUAGAUUUCAUCUAUCUCACUCGAAACCUAAUCCACAAAUCGAUUACGGAGGCAAUCUCUGAUGAAGACAUACUGUGGUGGUUUCUUCUUGGACUGGUAAUCAUUUUCAUCAGUUUGAUAAAGUCGAAUUGUCACUCUCAAUUAUUUAUCAGGUUUUAGGUGACAAAAUUUUCAGUCUCGACUUCUUCUCAAGUUAUACGGUUAUUAAAAUCAGUUACAGUUAUUAUUGUUAGUUAUGUUCUUUGACUAUUCGAGUUUCUUAAAAGACCAGGUCAGUAAAAAAUAAGAGUUAAAACGGCUAAUAUUUAAAAGCUGAGGAUUUUUUUUUAGCUCAAUCACGAGUUUGAACUUUUUUGGCUUUAAUUUGAAAGUUAAAGAUUUUAAUGACUAUUUUCUCAUAAAUAUAGAUAUUUUCUGUCUUUUUUACAAGCAAGUCUUCUACAAAAAAAAAAUGUUGAAGACCGAAACGGACAAAACAUAUAUGUUUCCAUAGAUUUUCAGUGUUCAAAUCAAUAAUAAAUUGAAAAAAAAAUCACAAAUAUUUGGAAACGAGAAAAAAAAAGAAUGCAUAAUGCUAAACUCAAAAGAAUGAUAAUUUUGGGGAAAACAAUUUUAGGUAAAUGAAAUGACUAAAAACUUUGAGAGUGGAAAGGAGAUGACCAGAGAAAUAGUCAGAAAAUGUGGAUGAACCUUACCUAGGUUUUGAUGUCAAGUAUAAUGAUGGUAUCUGAUUGUAUAAAAAGUCGAUUGCUUAGACCAUUUCAAAUGUAUUUCUUUAUUUCUUCGUCUAUAUAGAAGUGAGUUUAUAUCCAAUGUAUUUUUCUAUUUCUUCUUCUAUAAAACAAUAUUCUUAAAAGAUUCUUUUAUAUAACACAUUUAACUUAUAAAUGUUGCAAAUUAAUCCAUUUAUUAUAACUUUUGGUUCUUUUCAUAAAAUUGCAAUAUUAUUUAAAUUAAACAUUUUAUUACAAAAUAUAUUAGAAAAUUAUAAUAAAGCAAAAUAAACAUUAUCUAAACAUCAUCAUUACUAUAUUUUCCCAUAAAUGAUCAAUUAAUGCAUUCCGAAAUGAAAAAGAACUUCCUUAUCUUUGAUUUUUCUGAACCGACUUAGAAAUUCUUGGAACAUGUUAUAUUCAUCGUCUGGUAUUUGGACUUUUGGAGGUGGAGCUUCUCUUCUAAUUUCAAUCGAUGAAUCGAGAUCACGCUCAUCCUCAAUUGUCAUAUUAUGUAAAAUUAUACAUGUAGUCAUUAUUAUGUAGUACUUUUUUCCAGAAACGUACCGGGUCUUUUCACAAUAGCAAAACGUGAUUGUAAAACUUUGAAUGCAUGUUUUACAUAUUUCCUACAUGCUUCUUGUUGCGCUGCAAAAUAUUUUUUUCUUUGGACCUAUUGACUCAUGAAUAGUUUGCACUAUGGUUGAGAAUUUUGGAUAUAUACCAUCAGCCAAAUAAUAUCUCAUAUUAUAUUUUUUGCCUUGAAUAACAUAAUGAACAGGAGGAGCAAUACCUUGAACGAGAUUGGAAAAAAAGGUGAGAAGACUCCAGCACAUUAAUAUCAUUAUUAGUCCAUGGCAAGCCAAAAUAUGCAUGACAUAUCCAAAUAUCAUAUCAUCCAAAGCUGUUUCAAUAUGUUGUAUUGAUUAAUAUUUAAGUUUCAUUUUAAUAUUUUAUCAAUAUGUAAAAUUAUGUGGAACUUUUAAUAAUUAAAUUUUAAUUAAUAGUUUUAAUUAUCAAUAUAAAAUUUUAGAUAUCAUUCAUUAAAUAAAAAGUCUGACUUUAAAUAAAAUAAUUAGUAUGUAAACAUAAAAUAAUUAGAUAUCUUUUUUAUUUAUUUUAUUUAUAAUUAUAAAAAUUAAAAAUUAGUAGUUAAACAAAAAGCUUAUAAUUUAUAUGUAAAAAUUGUAUUUCUUCAUAAACAUGUAUUUUAAAUAUAAUCACAAAAGCUAAAAGACUAUUUUGUAAAUAAAAAAGUAUGUCUAUAUUAUAGAGAAAUGCUAUUUUUUUUUCCUAAAUAUAGAUGAAAAAAUAACAAUCUCUAUUAUAAGGGAAGAAAUAGAGGUGGGUUGGAGUAGAUUUUCUUCUAUUAUAGCAUAUAGAUGCAAAUAUAUGGAGGGAUUGGAGAUGUUCUUAGUGGAGAUGGAUCUAUACUUGUAGAAGUUACUUAAUCUUGGUUAGGGUACCAAAUGAUGAAGGUUGUAUCUGUAUCGUUUGAAACUUUGAAUUAUUUGGACUAAUAUGGAAAGGAAAUGUCAUCUUGAAUCCUAGUGAAACAUUAGCGUUGUUCUCUGAAAAUUUGUAGAGGUUUUUUUUUUACAUAAACAUAGGUCUUCAAAUUGUGAAAAAGAAGUUUUUACUAAAAUUCUUUAAAAAUGGUCAAGCCGCCAAAAUCUAAAAUCCGGCCCUAUAUAGAACAAAUAAAAAAGAGUUAUAGAACCAUGGAGAACAAGGGGUUCAGUAACUAUGGAGGUUAGAGCGCUAACGUGAAAUUAUUUUUGGUCGGGAGCAAUAAUGUAAUUAGGUUCCCAAAAUACUGUAUACCUCUUAAUUUGCUUUUAACAAAUACACUUCAGACUUAAAUUAUGUUAGUUUUGUAUUUGGUUACAAUAUCUAGAUGUACCAUCUCAAUACAACAUUUGGAUGUAUUCGUUUUUAUAGUUUGUAUUUACAUCUAGAUACAUCAUCUAGAUGCUAAUUUAUUCGUUUUCUAUUUUAUAAUAACAUUUGAAUAUUACUAGUUAAUUAUAAAUAAAAAAUUAUAUAAUAAAGAAUUAAUUAAUUAUCUUAUUUCAAUAAAUAUGUCUAAAUUAUAGUUAAAUUAAAAUAGUUAUUAAAUUUAAAUAUUUUUUGGAAAAUCUGAUUUUAAGGUUUUGACCGUAAAUCCGAUUUACAUUUUUUGAAGGAAAUCAUAUUUUAUGGUUUUGGCGGAAUAUUGUGAUUUAAAAAAUUUGGCGGGAAAAUUUGAUUGUUUGAUUUUGGUGGAAAAAUGUGAUUUUGCAUUUUGAGUGGAAAAUCUAAUUUUAAAGAUUUGGUGGGGAAAAAUAUAAUUUGGGUGUUUUGGGAGAAAACUCAAUUUUGUAGUUUAGGUGGAAAAUUUAAUUUUGUUUUUUUGGCGGAAGACGUAACUUUGCGGUUUUGGUGAUGUGAUUUUAUAGUUUUCCGCAAAAACCCGAUUUACUCUUUUGGUGGAAAACUUGAAUUUGCAUUUUUGACAGAAAACUUAUUUUUUGGUUUCAGCGGAAAUUUUGAUUUUAUGGGAUUGGCGACAACAGGAUUUUACGAUAUUGGUAGAAAACAUGAUUUUAUGAUUUGGCGAAAUUCUUUAUUUUUUUUGACGAAAACGUGAUUUUGCAGUUUUGGUAGAAAAUAUGAUUUUACAGUUUUGAAAUGAAAAUUUGAAAUUUGGUUUUUGUGGAAACAUUUGAUUUUGCGGUUUUGGCAAAAAAAAUCAUUGCAUGAUUUUAUGGAAAACAUGAUUUUACAGUUUUGACAUAAAAGCUCAAUUUUACGGAUCUGGUAAAAAAAUCAAAGUUUACAAUUUUAGCGAAAAACUCGAUUUAACGGUUUUGGGGAAAAAACUCAAUUUUAUUAUUUUUGCCAAAAACUCUAUUUUAUAAUUUCAUCAAAAACUAUAUAUAUAAUAAAAAUAAAAUAAACUAGUUAUUUGUAUAUAUUGCUGAAUGAUAUUUUAUUCUUUUGAAUUUUGAGAUGCAAAUGUUGCAUUCAAACUCCAUAUUUUUGCAUCAUAAAUAUUUGAAUUAAUGAACUUUUAUCUAGAUAUAUUAUCUAAAUGUUGAUGUAAUAGUGUGUAGACAAACAACUUCCGAGCAUUUGCAUCCAGGUGCAUCAUUAAUGCAUCAUUAAAAGCAAAUAGUGCUUAAUACCUGAAUUUACUUUUCAUGGUUUUAUAACAAAUACUAAAGAGUUUUGAUGGAAUCAAAUAUAAUUAGUGGUUGGGUUACAUUUUUUUUUUUAUGUCACAGGCUGAGUCACAUCUAAGAAAUAAAUUUCCUAAACAACUGUUAGUUAAUUAUAAUGUAAUCAGAUCCUGACAUUAUAACAAGCACCCAAACGAGUGUCAGAGUGCGUAACACGUGUCAACUUCCGAACUAAUAUAGGAACUUCCUCCACCAAACACAAAUGAAUUCAUUAGGAAUUCUCACUUAUGUUUUCAUUUUACGAAUUUUUACUUAUGUUUUCAAGUGUGUAUCUGAAUAGGAACUUCCUCUCUCUUUCUUAAUUUUUUCCCUUGUUCUAAAAAGCGGCCGAGUUGCCGAGUAAUCGUCCGCAAAAUCGUGAAGCGUUGGGUCACCGUAGCGAGUUUGGCCAGUUCGGAUGCAUUCCACGCUCACCCGCGUUUUGACCGCCCAGAACGUGAUUUAAGGUUACACGGCCGCGUAAUGUUUUUUUCUUUUAACUACCGCCGCGUAAUUUUGUUUCCGGAAACCUCAAAAAUCUCUGAAGAUGUUUCUAUUUGUAGAUCUGAUGUAAUUAUAGUGUACAAAUCAAGAAAAUCAAGUGAAAACAAAAAAAAAGAACAAAGAAAGAACCAUGGAUGGCCAUAGUUUAAUCGCAGAACCAAAGAAAAAAGAAGAAGAUGAAGACGUACGUGUAUCUUUUUAUAUUUAUUAAAACAAAGUAAAUAAUAAAAAACUAUAAAACACCACAAUUCACGGGUUGAACCACAUUUUAGUAGGUCCAAAAGGUUUAACCAAAACAAUUGACCUAAGUUUUAAUAAUAUUUGGAAUCCACAAAUGAAGAUAUGUACUACUGAGUACUAUAACCAUAAAAAAAAAUCCCCGAUUACUCCCCGAUUUAUUUCCGAUUUUUCGAUAAAUCGCUAGGCGCUGGUCAUCCGCACGCGUUGCGCCUAGCGAGUUUCCGAACAAGGAUUUUUUCUAAACUUCGUGUUCGGUGGCUGACGGCAGCUUUGCUGUCGGUCACCACUAACUCUUGUUUUCGUUGUACAUAAUAGAUCUACGAAUCGAUCUUUUGUUAUGGUGAUUUGAGUAGGCUCCUUCGUUUACUGUUCACUUUCAUCCCUCUCAAAGAGAAUCAGUCUUCUUUGUCAGUAAGCCGGUUAUGGCAUUGAGGAUAGCAUCUCUGAUUGGGAGUUGAUGAGGUUUGAUGGAUUGUUUUAGCCAUUUGUGAAGUCGAUUAAGAAGAGUUGGCGUUCUACGGUCCAACAAAUAGUCGGUCUUCCGUUUGGUUUAUGUGUCCUUUUCUUUGGAAUUUCGGUGAAUUAAGGUAAUACUAAUCAAGUAACCGAGGCUUAGUUAUAAGGCAUCAUGGUAUAAGCGAUUAGAACAGCGACAUAGAAGAAGAAGAGACUUUGAGGUGGGUUUGCUAGAAUCACGGUGAAGAAGUCAUCUCGACGUUUGUUCCUGCCAGCUCAUUGUAGAAGAACACGUGUGGUCUAUAUGUUAUUCUUUGAAGUGUUCAUAUUCGACACGUGUUACAAACCACUUCCAAUUUUUAAUAUAUAUGUAACUAGAUUUUGACCCGCACAUUCGUGCGGAUAUUUUUCAUUUUAUGAAUGUAUACUUUUGAUUUAUUAUAAAUAUUUUAAGUAUAUAAUUUUAAUUUUAGUGUUAUA